rnacentral:lncRNA from 1 species
CUCAGGUCUCUCAUCUGGGAAGUGGGAUGAUAGCGCCAACCUAGCUGGAUUGCUGUGACUGCCAGCACAAUGCCUUCUAAGGGUUCAAGAUGAGAUUACUUAGUCCCAGAUGGGUUAAGUAACUGGCCCAAGGUCACAGCGCUGGUAAGCAACUGGGCUUCAAUCCAACCAUCCUGACUCCAGAAGCCUCUUUGAACUACCACCUUCUGCACCUGCCCCAGGGCUUCUUCGCCUGAGCCGGUGCCUUGCUGCCGCCCUGCUCAUCUCUUCUGGGAAGAUGCCUCUCAUCUUGCCAGUCCUCAAGCCAGAAGCCUCCGGUGCUGCCCUAGGGCUCCCUGAAUAGGCAUCCCUAAGGCAUCCCUCCUGGUGUUCAAACCACAUCCUUCCUGGCUAAGCUUCCAUUCCCCAGGGUAGCCCUCCACACUUUGGAGCCUCAGCUCACCUCUCACUCUCACACUUCAGUUUCACACUUCCCUUCUGAAUGGUCCCACCUCUGUGCUUUUGCUUAAGCUGUGCACACUUCCCAGAGUGCUCUUUCCCCUAUGUCUGCCUGUGCUCCAAUACCCUAUGCCUGAGCUGACCCAUGACAUACAAGCACCUACAGAGGCCUGGGGGAAGGAGGCAGUGGUAUGUGUGUCAGUGUGGGGAGUCAGUGAAGAGGUUUGGGGCUUUAGGGUCAGUUAUGUGACUUCAGGGCAAGUCCCCAUCUCCCUGAACCCCAGUUUCUGCAAAAUGAAGAUAUCCAUCCCAGCUUCUCCCAAGGUUUAUAAUGGUAAUCUGUGAGGUUCUGGCACAUGAUGAAUCCAUAACUACCCGUUGUGACAAGUUCCCCACUUGUGAAGUCAAAUGAAGACCCCCUGGUGUUGACAGUGCAGGAAAACCUGUGCCCGAGCACCUUGUCCCUAGGGAGAACCCUACCUUCAGUGCCUCUCUGAACAACAGGGCCAGGAAGGGGUCACUGUAUAGCAGUUGGUCCCUAGUGACCAGUCCUGGCAGAGGGCCUUUAUCCCACUUCCAGUAGCCCAGCACCAACCAUCCCCAGCUCUGGGAGGGGGUGGGCAGCACCCUCCUUCCUCCACAUUGUUGCCACCUCAGAGAGUCAGAAUCCAGGGAGACAGUCUCCUGGCAGCGGAGCUCCUGCUGCCCGCCAUGGGUGUCUGUGAUGCUGCCGUGCCCACUGGGGGCUGCAGGCACUCCAGCAUCAGGAUGGACUAAAUCUCGGGAGUGGGAAGGGGACUCCAGCCAGGGGCACUGGAGACAGGGCCAGCCUGAGUGCCUGCUUCUCCCAGGGGCAGGUGCCAGCAUGGUGCACCCCUCAAGGAGUGUGGCAGGUAAGAUUGAGGUCCUGGCUGCCCCAGGCUCCUGUGCCAUCGAGAGGGAAAGCACCUGGAACAGGUAUACAGUAGAUGCUUAGUGAUGAGGAGAAUCUUCACUUGGUGGAAUUCUGAACACUUUGGGUACCACCAGAGUCAGAAUUCCCAGAGGAGGAGGCAGGCAUUUGAUAACGGAUGUCUGGAGGAUAUAGCAUGUUCAACCUUCCCCUCUCCAUGAGAGGAAGUGGUGACCUCAACCCCAGCACCCUCCUCUGCCCAUUCACACCCACCCACUCCCACCUCUCUGCCAGCCUCAGUUGGAUGUGGAGCAGAAUGUAAUGAGGACUUACCUGUCCACAAGGACUUCACAACUGUUCCAAGGCGAUGGAUGGGCAGGUGCUAACGCAGCCCCUCAGUGUCCCCCUUCCCUUGCUUUUGGGGUGGGCUUGGGGCCCCCGGGGGGUCCUAACUCACUGAAGAUACCAGGGCCCAGCUUCUGAGUAUUCCUAGAGGCCAUUUCUACCCCUAGAAACUUUACAUGGAGCCAAAAGCCCAUUUGAAGCUCAGUCUGGGCCAGGAGAGGCUAAUCAUAAAAGGGAUAUUUUUUAAGUGUACAGAAAUAAGAAUUUAUUUUUGAAGACAUGAUUUAUAUUUUGAAUGGCUAAUGCACUCACAUGAUUCAAAAUUCAAAAUUCCAAAAGAACCGACAGUGCAAAGUCGCUCCUCCUUUGGUCCCCACCACCCAGUUUCCCUCUGCAGAGGGAACCUUGUUGCCAGUUCUUGUGUAUUCUUCCAGAGAUCUUCUAUGUAUAAACCGUCAUCCUCCU